rnacentral:rRNA from 1 species
GAUGAACGCUGGCGGCGUGCUUAACACAUGCAAGUCGAACGGAAAGGCUCCUGCUUGCAGGGGUACUCGAGUGGCGAACGGGUGAGUAACACGUGGGUGAUCUGCCCUGCACUUCGGGAUAAGCCUGGGAAACUGGGUCUAAUACCGGAUAGGACCACAUUUUGGAUGGUGUGGUGGAAAGUUUUUCGGUGUGGGAUGAGCUCGCGGCCUAUCAGCUUGUUGGUGGGGUAAUGGCCUACCAAGGCGUCGACGGGUAGCCGGCCUGCGAGGGUGUACGGCCACAUUGGGACUGAGAUACGGCCCAGACUCCUACGGGAGGCAGCAGUGGGGAAUAUUGCACAAUGGGCGCAAGCCUGAUGCAGCGACGCCGCGUGGGGGAUGACGGCCUUCGGGUUGUAAACUCCUUUCGCUAGGGACGAAGAGCAAGUGACGGUACCUGGAGAAGAAGCACCGGCUAACUACGUG